AAGGAAUAUUGGACAAUGGAGGCAACUCUGAUCCAGCCAUGCCGCGUGAAGGAAUAAGGCCCUAUGGGUUGUAAACUUCUUUUAGACGGGACAAAACCCCUUUACGUGUAAAGGGUUGAUGGUACUGUCAGAAUAAGCAUCGGCUAACUUCGUGCCAGCAGCCGCGGUAAUACGAAGGAUGCAAGCGUUAUCCGGAAUUAUUGGGUUUAAAGGGUGCGUAGGCGGACUAAUAAGACAGUGGUGAAAGCCUGCAGCUUAACUGCAGAAUUGCGAUUGAUACUGUUAGUCUUGCGUGCAGUUGAGGUAGGCGGAAUGUGUCAUGUAGCGGUGAAAUGCUUAGAUAUGACACAGAACACCGAUUGCGAAGGCAGCUUGCUAAGCUGUAACUGACGCUGAGGCACGAAAGCGUGGGGAGCAAACA
rnacentral:rRNA from 1 species